CAAGGACAAAGCAAGGAACUGUUAUUUCCCCAUCUAUAAAAAGGUGUGUAAAGAGCCAUGCACAAGGCAAAAGGCUGAGCAAGGCUGAUAUUUACCUGGUUUGGUUUUACUUUUCUACUAUGAGGAAGAGCUAGACUGCAACGUUAUGACCAAGUUUCCUCUCCUGUCAACCUCCCACAUUGAAGAAGUUUCUUCUGCCUAGCAACCAGAGGAAGCCCUUAGAGGAUGGGAAAUGUGUAGCAUCAUCAGUUAAGAUUUUCAGUUAAA
rnacentral:lncRNA from 1 species